rnacentral:rRNA from 1 species
UACGUAGGGUGCAAGCGUUAAUCGGAAUUACUGGGCGUAAAGCGUGCGCAGGCGGUUUGUAAGUUUGUCGUGAAAUCCCCGGGCUCAACCUGGGAAUGGCGAUGAAGACUGCAAGGCUAGAAUCUGGCAGAGGGGGUGGAAUUCCGCGUGUAGCAGUGAAAUGCGUAGAGAUGCGGAGGAACACCGAUGGCGAAGGCAGCCCCUGGGCCGACACUGACGCUCAGGCACGGAAAGCGUGGGGAGCAAACAGG